GACGAACGCUGGCGGCGUGCCUAAUACAUGCGGGUAGAACGCACAGUUUAUACCGUAGCUUGCUACACCAUAGACUGUGAGUUGCGAACGGGUGAGUAACGCGUAGGUAACCUGCCUGGUAGCGGGGGAUAACUAUUGGAAACGAUAGCUAAUACCGCAUAAUAUUAAUUAUUGCAUGAUAAUUAAUUGAAAGGUGCAAUUGCACCACUACCAGAUGGACCUGCGUUGUAUUAGCUAGUAGGUGAGGUAAUGGCUCACCUAGGCGACGAUACAUAGCCGACCUGAGGGGGUGAUCGGCCACACUGGGACUGAGACACGGCCCAGACUCCUACGGGAGGCAGCAGUAGGGAAUCUUCGGCAAUGGACGAAAGUCUGACCGAGCAACGCCGCGUGAGUGAAGAAGGUUUUCGGAUCGUAAAGCUCUGUUGUAAGAGAAGAACGGGUGUGAGAGUGGAAAGUUCACACUGUGACGGUAUCUUACCAGAAAGGGACGGCUAACUACGUG
rnacentral:rRNA from 1 species